rnacentral:rRNA from 1 species
GAUUAACGCUGGCGGCGUGCAUAACACAUGCAAGUCGAACGAUGAAACUUUACUGACUUCUUCGGAAUGAUUUAAAGCGGAUUAGUGGCGAACGGGUGAGUAACGCGUGAGUAACCUGCCUUACACAAGGGGAUAGCCUCUGGAAACGGAGAAUAAUACCCUAUGAAACCAGACAAUCGCAUGAUAAUCUGGUCAAAAUGUUUAGUGGUGUAAGAUGGACUUGCGUCUGAUUAGCUAGUUGGUGAGAUAAAAGCUCACCAAGGCAACGAUCAGUAGCCGGCUUGAGAGAGUGUACGGCCACAUUGGGACUGAGACACGGCCCAGACUCCUACGGGAGGCAGCAGUGGGGAAUUUUGCACAAUGGGGGAAACCCUGAUGCAGCGACGCCGCGUGAUUUAGAAGCCCUUCGGGUUGUAAAAAUCUUUUGUAUAGGAAGAAAAUGACAGUACUAUACGAAUAAGGUCCGGCUAAUUACGUG